CUUUUACUAUGAAGCAGACGUGUCUAACGGUGCUAAAGGACAGCUACGUUCUGGUUCGGCCCACAUGAGGCUCCUACUCUGCAGUUAGCGAGCUUGUGUAACGCAAUCGCCACACUCGCAUUUGAAGAGGUUCAGUGGGACAACUUCAAGCAAGCAUGGGUUUUUGGUAGACAUGGAGGAAGGCCUAUGCUGAGACCAAGAGUUUUACGUCAUGUACUUGGAAAGAAAUCGAACUAUUGACUUAACAGACUGAUGCGUCGUGACGAGGUGGAGCUGCGGUCAGCCGAGACGACGCUGGAGGUUAAAGGGCCGCCGUGGAGAAUCGAGGGAUGUUAUUGGUGAAGCCGUCUCUGUUCUACACAGCACGGUUACCAUGACGCCCUGUGAGAGGAGGAUCCAGCUCAUUUUUGGAGGCAACAAUGAUGUGCACCAGUCUCCAAGAAGAAAUACAUGACUAAGCAAGUCUACAGACCCAC